rnacentral:rRNA from 1 species
UGAGGAAUAUUGGUCAAUGGGCGGGGAGCCUGAACCAGCCAAGUCGCGUGAGGGAAGACGGUCCUAUGGAUUGUAAACCUCUUUUGUCGGGGAGCAAAGAGGCCACGUGUGGUCAAAAGCGAGAGUACCCGAAGAAAAAGCAUCGGCUAACUCCGUGCCAGCAGUCGCGGUAAUAGAUCUGU